AACGAACGCUGGCGGCAUGCCUAACACAUGCAAGUCGAACGAGACCUUCGGGUCUAGUUGCGCACGGGUGCGUAACGCGUGGGAACCUGCCCUUAGGUUCGGAAUAACUCCCCGAAAGGGGUGCUAAUACCGGAUAAUGUCUUCGGACCAAAGAUUUAUCGCCUUUGGAUGGGCCCGCGUUGGAUUAGCUAGUUGGUAGGGUAAAAGCCUACCAAGGCGACGAUCCAUAGCUGGUCUGAGAGGAUGAUCAGCCACACUGGGACCGAGACACGGCCCAGACUCCUACGGGAGGCAGCAGUGGGGAAUAUUGGACAAUGGGCGAAAGCCUGAUCCAGCAAUGCCGCGUGAGUGAUGAAGGCCUUAGGGUUGUAAAGCUCUUUUAACCGGGAUGAUAAUGACAGUACCGGGAGAAUAAGCUCCGGCUAACUCCGUG
rnacentral:rRNA from 1 species